rnacentral:rRNA from 1 species
AGAGUUUGAUCCUGGCUCAGGAUGAACGCUAGCGGCAGGCUUAACACAUGCAAGUCGAGGGGCAGCGGGGAGGAAGCUUGCUUUCUCCGCCGGCGACCGGCGCACGGGUGAGUAACACGUAUGCAACCUGCCCCUGUCAGGGGGACAACCCGCCGAAAGGCGGGCUAAACCCGCGUACAUGCCACCGGGGCAUCCCGGAGGCAGGAAAGGCUUCGGCCGGACAGGGAUGGGCAUGCGGCGCAUUAGGCAGUAGGCGGGGUAACGGCCCACCUAACCGACGAUGCGUAGGGGUUCUGAGAGGAAGGUCCCCCACACUGGUACUGAGACACGGACCAGACUCCUACGGGAGGCAGCAGUGAGGAAUAUUGGUCAAUGGUCGGGAGACUGAACCAGCCAAGCCGCGUGAGGGAGGAAGGUACAGAGUAUCGUAAACCUCUUUUGUCAGGGAACAAAGGCGGGGACGUGUCCCCGGAUGAGUGUACCUGAAGAAAAAGCAUCGGCUAACCCCGUGCCAGCAGCCGCGGUAAUACGGAGGAUGCGAGCGUUAUCCGGAUUUAUUGGGUUUAAAGGGUGCGCAGGCGGUCUGUUAAGUCAGCGGUCAAAGCCCGGGGCUCAACCCCGGCCCGCCGUUGAAACUGGCAGUCUCGAGUUGGAGAGAAGUAUGCGGAAUGCGCGGUGUAGCGGUGAAAUGCAUAGAUAUCGCGCAGAACUCCGAUUGCGAAGGCAGCAUGCCGGCUCCACACUGACGCUGAGGCACGAAAGCGUGGGUAUCGAACAGGAUUAGAUACCCUGGUAGUCCACGCAGUAAACGAUGAAUGCUGGCUGUCCGGGGGGAUUGACCCCUGGGUGGCGAAGCGAAAGCGAUAAGCAUUCCACCUGGGGAGUACGCCGGCAACGGUGAAACUCAAAGGAAUUGACGGGGGCCCGCACAAGCGGAGGAACAUGUGGUUUAAUUCGAUGAUACGCGAGGAACCUUACCCGGGCUCAAACGGGGAGUGGCGCAGGCAGAGACGCCUGUUUCCCACGGGACACUCCCCGAGGUGCUGCAUGGUUGUCGUCAGCUCGUGCCGUGAGGUGUCGGCUUAAGUGCCAUAACGAGCGCAACCCCCGCGUGCAGUUGCUAACAGUCAACGCUGAGGACUCUGCACGGACUGCCGGCGCAAGCCGCGAGGAAGGCGGGGAUGACGUCAAAUCAGCACGGCCCUUACGUCCGGGGCGACACACGUGUUACAAUGGGUGGUACAGCGGGAAGCCAGGCGGCGACGCCGAGCGGAACCCGAAAUCCACUCUCAGUUCGGAUCGGAGUCUGCAACCCGACUCCGUGAAGCUGGAUUCGCUAGUAAUCGCGCAUCAGCCAUGGCGCGGUGAAUACGUUCCCGGGCCUUGCACACAACGCCCGUCAAG